CUACGCCCCACCACCCCCAGCCCUGCAGGGUCAUGGUUUUCCUAUGUCAGCAGCCAGCUGGAAUAUAAACACUGAAGAGUCUUUAAGCAGCCUCUCUAACCUCCAUUCACAGAUGUGAGCCAAGCAUCAGAGGGAUGCCAUCCAAACUGCAGAGGGAUGGCAUGGUUCAAGAGCACCUUGGGGACCAGUCCUCUGCAUUCCCCAUUUUUCAUGGCAACUUGUCUACUUUUCAAGUCCUGAUCACUCUUACAGCCUUUAAAGAGAAGCUGCCAAGCAAAACCAACCACAAAGAGCUGGAAUUAGUUUGUGCUAUGAGCCUAGCAGUUUCUAAUGUACCUGUAGACCUUUGGAGAUAAACUGCACCAUCGCAAAACCUUGGGAGACUGAGAGAUCAGAGACUAUUCAUUUCCAAAGAAGCCUUUUCUAAAGGAAAACACUACACAGUGAGUGCAUCAGAGAGCUCCUCCUUCCUGUGUUUUCCAUGGAAAGAAUUUUCCUGUACCAUAGUCACGGUGAAUGAGUCACCAGCAGUUAGUUGCUAAAUAACAGUCAUAUGGCAAAAGUCCUCCCAACAAUCAGAUGCUGCUACUUUAGGAUAAAAGUAUCCACUCUGCAUUUUUGAGAUAACCAGAGGGUAUUGCUAAAGUUAUUUUUGGAAUGUGGGAGAGUAAAACCAAAUUGCUUUUGUCUCCUUGCCUUCGGAUAGACUCCUUAAGAGCUUGGAGUACAGAAACAAAGAGGAGAUAUUUUCUACUUACAAUCAAAGCUGCAAGAAAUACAGUAAAAUAAAUCAGAUAAAAAAUAAAAUUCAGAACUCAUAUUCAGAGAAUAAGGUUUUUAUUCUCAUUCUAAGGAUGAUUUUCAAAGAAAUUACUUCAGUUUCAUUCCAGUUUGAUGAGAUAAAUCUUGUGAAGACAGACACUGACCCAGGGUUUUAUUUGUUAUUUUACCUCCAUCCCUGACCCCUCAACUGAUUCACUGUUGCCUUUUCAUUUACUUGAAAAAUGAAGCGAGGAUUAUCAAUGACCAAUGGACAGAGAGAGGCCAGUUUGUUGGAAAUAAAAGCUUGUUAGCAUACAACCACGCCUGACAACAAUUCAAGCAUGCAUCAUUUCCAUAGAAAUGCCAACAGAGGAAAAU